rnacentral:tRNA from 1 species
AAGCUUAGGAUAAUCUAAAACCGAGGACCUUCAAAGCCCUAAAUAGGGAUUUACCCCCUAGCUUCU